GACGAACGCUGGCGGCGUGCUUAACACAUGCAAGUCGAACGGAAAGGCCCUGCUUGCAGGGUACUCGAGUGGCGAACGGGUGAGUAACACGUGGGUGAUCUGCCCUGCACUUCGGGAUAAGCCUGGGAAACUGGGUCUAAUACCGGAUAGGAGCCAUUCUUAGUGUGAUGGUUGGAAAGUUUUUUCGGUGUAGGAUGAGCUCGCGGCCUAUCAGCUUGGUGGUGGGGUAAUGGCCUACCAAGGCGGCGACGGGUAGCCGGCCUGGGAGGGUGGACGGCCACAUUGGGGAUGGGAUACGGCCCAGCCUCCUACGGGGGGCAGCAGUGGGGAAUAUUGCACAAUGGGCGCAAGCCUGAUGCAGCGACGCCGCGGGGGGGAUGACGGCCUUCGGGUUGUAAACUCCUUUCGCUAGGGACGAAGCUUUUUGUGACGGUACCUAGAUAAGAAGCACCGGCUAACUACGUG
rnacentral:rRNA from 1 species